CAAAGGCUGACCUUACCCCAGCAGAGGACAUGGCCUUGGAGCUAAAUAAAGGCAGGCCCGUCUUAGAGGGGAUCCCUGGGGGGAAAGAGACGAGCAUAGGUUCCUCCCAAGAUGCCACCCGCUUCAUUCAAGUGUCUGGCAGCACUGUGUUCCUGUUAGAGCCACCAGCACAAGCACCAGACAAUGCUGAUCCAGUGAGUACUCCAUCAAAGGCAUACUGUAGGCCUGGCAUGUCUUGUCUACUAGCUUCAAUAUGAAUCCGAUUAAAUGUGAUAGGGUGAAGGCCCCAGUGCAGCAGCAAAUGAUGGAGACGAUGAUGAUGAGGAGGAGACCAUCUCUCUGGAUUCCAGAAGGCAUGAGGUAUCAUGGACCCAGAUGCUAUACAGUGGGAAAACCAGCCUGGCAACAUAGUGCGUAUUAAUAAAAGGACACCACAUCCUGCCAAAUUCCAGCUGCGCUAAUUGUAGUGUGUUCACAGAGCUCACAAGCUAUCAGAAAGUUGUAUGGCAACCACCUCC